rnacentral:rRNA from 1 species
UACGUAGGGGGCAAGCGUUUGUCCGGAUUUAUUGGGCGUAAAGAGCGUGUAGGCGGUUCGGUAGGUCCGUUGUGAAAACUCGAGCUCAACCUCGAGACGCCGAUGGAAACCCCCGAACUAGAGUCCGGAAGAGGAGAGUGGAAUUCCUGGUGUAGCGGUGAAAUGCGCAGAUAUCAGGAAGAACACCCGUGGCUAAGGCGGCUCUCUAGUACGGUACUGACGCUGAGACGCGAAAGCGUGGGGAGCGAACAGG